AUUGAACGCUGGCGGCAUGCCUAACACAUGCAAGUCGAACGGUAACAGAAAGCAGCUUGCUGCUUUGCUGACGCGUGGCGGGCGUGUGUGUAAUGUCUGGGAAACUGCCUGAUGGAUGGGGUUAACUACUGGAAACGGUAGCUAAUACCGCAUAACUUCGCAAGCCCAAAGAUGGGGACUUUCGGGCCUCUUUCCAUCGACUUUUCCCAGAUUGGAUUAGCUAGUAGGUGGGGUAACGGCUCACCUAGGCGACGAUCCCUAGCUGGUCUGAGAGGAUGACCAGCCACACUGGAACUGAGACACGGUCCAGACUCCUACGGGAGGCAGCAGUGGGGAAUAUUGCACAAUGGGCGCAAGCCUGAUGCAGCCAUGCCGCGUGUAUGAAGAAGGCCUUCGGGUUGUAAAGUACUUUCAGCGGGGAGGAAGGGAGUAAAGUUAAUACCUUGACUCAUUGACGUUACCCGAAGAAGAAGCACCGGCUAACUACGUG
rnacentral:rRNA from 1 species